rnacentral:rRNA from 2 species
CCUACGGGAGGCAGCAGUGGGGAAUAUUGCACAAUGGGCGCAAGCCUGAUGCAGCCAUGCCGCGUGUGUGAAGAAGGCCUUCGGGUUGUAAAGCACUUUCAGCGGGGAGGAAGGCGAUAAGGUUAAUAACCUUGUCGAUUGACGUUACCCGCAGAAGAAGCACCGGCUAACUCCGUGCCAGCAGCCGCGGUAAU